UACGUAGGGGGCAAGCGUUGUCCGGAAUCAUUGGGCGUAAAGCGCGUGUAGGCGGCUGAGUAAGUCUGCUCUGAAAGCCCGGGGCUCAACCCCGGGAGGCGGGUGGAUACUGCUCAGCUCGAGUCCGGAAGAGGAGUGUGGAAUUCCUGGUGUAGCGGUGAAAUGCGUAGAUAUCAGGAGGAACACCGGUGGCGAAAGCGCUCGUCUGGCCCAAUACUGACGCUGAUGCGCGAAAGCUAGGGGAGCAAACGGG
rnacentral:rRNA from 1 species